AAUGCUAAUUAGAGAUGGACAAACUACUUCAGAUAAAUUAAGAAGCAUCCCUACCUUUGUGUGAAAAUUUGCACGGUACUCAAAUGGAACAUUCUCUGAAUUCCCUUUGUCAAUCCUGCUUGGCAUUCCAGGUUCUGGACCGGAAGCAGGAACGAUACAACAAUGACAAAGAACAUACCCAGGGUAUUUCUGGCCCAAGGAGAAGCAGGAAUCUGCAAGAGCCUGGCCUCAUGAGCUGCAAAAGAUUCUGACUGACUUGCACAAGAAACUAUAUUUUGGAUGAUUUUUUUCAAUUCAAACUUCCACAGAUUUUGAGGUUUGGCCUUCGCUAUUGCUAUGUCUCUUUAGCCAGCAAGUAGAAGAUGCUCCCACGUACACGCUUUGGUUUCCAUCCUCUGUCCCAAAGACUGACUGACCCACUUUAUAAGGAAAUCAGCAAUUCUGCGUUAAAACUGUUUUUUUUUUUUUUCAUUUGAUAGUUACAUUUUCUUUUUCUGGCUGCAGGGUGAGAUUUGAACUGGUGCUUUGAGCCCACAAGUCACAUACAGUGCAAGGGCCUGCUUGUGACUGAAAUUUCACUGUUCCAUUAAGAAGACAAAGGAAUAGAGCAACGCUAAGGACUAGAGAGGACACCUUCAAAGCCUUAAAAGACAGCUAGGCACUCAGCUCCCCUUGAAAGCAAAUGGUCAGCUGCACACAGUGGACUGUUGCUUUUGGGCUCAAAAAACAAGCAGUGAGUGGUGGGAUCACAUCGUUAUGCAGGUCUGGGCUGACGAGCAGUGGCUGUAGAAUUUUCAGAUGAGGAAAGACACCUUAUUGGAACUGUGUGUGGCGCUCGCCCCAGCACUCCCAUGCAAGUACAUCAAAACAAGAGCUGCCCUCUUGGUGGAGAAGUGCCUGGCGAUUGCAGUGUGGAAGCCAGCGACUCGCUACUGGAACACCGGCCUGUCCAGAAAGCUGAAGACGGGGACUUUCUUUCCAGACCAAAAGAUUCCGAUGUAGGAUGUUGAUCCCAUAUGAUCCUGGGAGACCCAGCGUACUCCCAUGGCUUAUGAAGCCAUACACAGGAAACCUGGAUAGCAGUAAGAAGCGCUUCAGCAAUAGGCUCAGUAGAUGCAGGAUGACGGUGGAAUGUGCGUUUGGCACAAUGGCAAUGCCUUUAUGGCAGGCUAGACCUCAAUGAGGAGAAUAUUCCCAUGGUCACAGCUGCCUGUUGUAUGUUGCAUAGUAUUUGUGAAGGUAAUGGGGAAAGGUUUGUUCAGGGGUGGACUGCUGAGGCACAGUGCCUGGCAGCUGAUUUUGAGCAGCCUGAUACCAGGGCUAUUAGAGGGGCACAAUGGGGGACCAUUCAAAUCAGGGAAGCCUUGAGGCAACACUUUGAGAAUGAGAACCAAAAAUGUAUAUUUCUAUGCUGCAAACUACAAUGCUUCAUUAAAUCGAACUUUCCUAGGAAGCAGUUGUGAUGAUUCAUGGUCUAGGAUUUCAGUAAGCAAAAGAUUAAACUGCCUGUGUAUGUCUUGCUGCUGCCUGCUAUCUCAAUUUGUAGGGCAUAAAUAAAAAUCAAUUAUCUUUCA